UACGUAGGGUGCAAGCGUUGUCCGGAAUUAUUGGGCGUAAAGAGCUCGUAGGCGGUUUGUCGCGUCUGCCGUGAAAGUCCGGGGCUCAACUCCGGAUCUGCGGUGGGUACGGGCAGACUAGAGUGAUGUAGGGGAGACUGGAAUUCCUGGUGUAGCGGUGAAAUGCGCAGAUAUCAGGAGGAACACCGAUGGCGAAGGCAGGUCUCUGGGCAUUAACUGACGCUGAGGAGCGGAAAGCAUGGGGAGCGAACAGG
rnacentral:rRNA from 1 species